rnacentral:tRNA from 1 species
GUUUUUAUGGUGUAGAGCACAUUAAGAUUUUCGUUCUGAGGGCAUAGGGUUGUCCCCUAUUAAAAAUA